UAAGGGCAGGGAUGCGUUGAGCUAACCGGUACUAAUGAACCGUGAGGCUUAACCUUACAACGCCGAAG
rnacentral:rRNA from 1 species